GGAACGCAACGGAGGCAGGCGGGAGCCGCUGCCGUCGCCAUGACCCGCGGUAACCAGCGUGAGCUCGCCCGCCAGAAGAACAUGAAAAAGCAGAGCGACUCGGUUAAGGGAAAGGACGGAGAUGACGGGCCUUCUGCUGCCGCCCACAAGCAGAGGGACUCGGAGAUCAUGCAGCAGAAGCAGAAAAAGGCAAACGAGAAGAAGGAGGAACCCAAGUAGCUUUGUGGCUUCGGGUCCAACCUUCUUGCCCUUCGCCUGUGUGCCCGGAGCCAGUCCCACCAGGCUCGCGUUUCCUCCUGUAGUGCUCACAGGUCCCAGCACCGAUGGCUUCCCUUUGCCCUGAGUCUGCAGCCGGUCCCUUUUGUGCUUCCUUUCCCUCACGUAGCCUCUCUCCUCCCCCCCCCCAACACUCCUAGGGAUGAGGGGGUUACCCCUUCCCAGUGUUUUUUAUUCCUGUGGGGCUCACCCCAAAGUAUUAAAAGUAGCUUUGUAAAAAAAA